GGCCCAUGCGGAGAUGUGGAGAAGGCGUUGAAGCGGCGGUCCAAUUUGAAGUGUGGCCCAUGCAGUUGUGUUUUGCGAGAAUUCGUGCAGGCGGGGCCCAUAUGUUUCAAGUGCAGGAGAAUUGUAAGGUGAGCUUGGCCGUGAGUGCUGGUCCAUAAUGUGGAGUCCACGUGCUGGUGAAGUGCUGGCAUGUUGAAGUGGCGGGGCCCGUUGCGCUGAUCCAUGGCGUGAAAGGGCUGUGUGGAAGGCGUGAAAUGGCGCGGGCCCACGUGAGGAUUUGCUGGCCAUGUGCAGUUGGAGAUGGCUAUGUGAAGAUUGAAGCAUUGCACUUUGGCGGGCCUUGCGCGCAGGCGGGUCCUCGUCCAUGUGAAGGAACGUGGGCCCAUUCGAAUUGGUCCAUUUUCAAGGUGAGCUUGCAUGGGCUGUCCAAGCUUGAAUAUUUAAGCCACAAAAUAUUUUCCUUUUGCUUCAAAUAAGGCAGUUUUAGGGGGUUUUUUUUUCAAAUUGUCCUUUUAUACCAUUUUCUGCAAAAUAAUAUUAAAAGCAAUAAAUUAAGCAGAAAUCAUAUAAAUAUUUAUCAAUAAUAUUAAUAUAAAAUGG
rnacentral:lncRNA from 1 species